rnacentral:rRNA from 1 species
AUUAAAGAGUAAGGGUGCUCAGCGCCCGACCUCCAACCCUUUGUUGUUAAAACUACCUUGUUGCUUUGGCGGGACCGCUCGGUCUCGAGCCGCUGGGGAUUCGUCCCAGGCGAGCGCCCGCCAGAGUUAAACCAAACUCUUGUUAUUUAACCGGUCGUCUGAGUUAAAAUUUUGAAUAAAUCAAAACUUUCAACAACGGAUCUCUUGGUUCUCGCAUCGAUGAAGAACGCAGCGAAAUGCGAUAAGUAAUGUGAAUUGCAGAAUUCAGUGAAUCAUCGAAUCUUUGAACGCACAUUGCGCCCCUUGGUAUUCCGAGGGGCAUGCCUGUUCGAGCGUCAUUACACCACUCAAGCUAUGCUUGGUAUUGGGUGCCGUCCUUAGUUGGGCGCGCCUUAAAGACCUCGGCGAGGCCUCACCGGCUUUAGGCGUAGUAGAAUUUAUUCGAACGUCUGUCAAAGGAGAGGACUUCUGCCGACUGAAACCUUUAUUUUUCUAGGUUGACCUCGGAUCAGGUAGGGAUACCCGCUGAACU